ACUUGAAAUGCCUCACUCCCAAAAUACUCGCAUAACCACCGUCAAUCGUCACUAGACCCAGCCCAAUUUCUAUAAGGCUGGGUCACAGGAUCAAUCCUCUUCGUUUGCAGCUCAUUGCAAUAUUUAUGAAGCCUACAUCGUCAAUCUCUGUAUCUAUUUACAGUCAUUUUGAGAAUACAAGCCAUCACUUGUUUGUCGGUGCAAUCCUUGAAGUCAAUAUUAUCCUACAC
rnacentral:lncRNA from 1 species